GACGUGAAAGACUAGUGUUAUUCAUCUUUAAUAGGUUUAAAGGGUACCUAGACGGUAUUUCUAGCCCAAAAAGGGUGACGAUUACGUAGUAUUUAUGUUAAGAAGAGGAGUAUUUUGGUUGUAGAGAUGAAAUUUUUUGAUACCUUAAGGACUGAUAAAGGCGAAAGCAAUCUUCUAUGUAAAAACUGACGUUGAGGAACGAAGGCCCGGGUAACAAGCAGG
rnacentral:rRNA from 1 species